rnacentral:siRNA from 1 species
AACGGGCGGGCCUUUACCUAGUA